rnacentral:rRNA from 1 species
UAAGUACGCAUCACUUACAAUGAUGAGGGUCGUAGAUUUCAUGUCGGCUUAACUUAUCUAUUGUUGUUAUUAAUAGUAUAUUAAAAUUAAUAAUUAUACGAGAGUGAUAGUAUUGAUUGAGGGAAGAUAGGUUACCUUUUGCAUAAUGGAGUAACAAUAAUUAAUAGGUGAUAUUCUUUCUCACGAAGGGGGAUGAGCUAACUGAACGUAUAUUUCUCUUAGGUUAAACCAAGAAUAGUUGAUUCUGUAAGUGACCGACAAACACUUAUUUUGCAAGCUUUGUUGCAAUAAAGCUUUUUUAGGUUCAGUUAGGGGUGAAAGGCUUAACAACUCCACUGGUAUCUUGAUGUUAAGUAAAAGUAUUUAGUACUAGUAAGUAUUGUUUUAAGGACAGUUUUAUAGAGAUUAGCCUGUAAAACGUUUUUGAAAGUUUAACUUUAACUUUAGCCUAGUGUGAGUUAGGCCAAAAGUUCACUAAUUAUUUUAUCUAAGUAAAGGUGUUUCAAGAAGAGCUCUUAGCUACCUCCCUUAAUCAUUUUAGGAGGUCAAUAAUGUUAUUAUUAGUAGAUAUAGCCUUGGGAAAAUUAAACUUAAUGAAUUCGGCAAACUCUUCCUUCAACUGUUUAUCAAAAACAUAGCCCCUCGUUUAAUUAAAAGUAUAUGAGGGGUUACCCCUGCUCAAUGAUCUUUAGAUUUAAUAGCCGCAGUACCCUGACUGUGCUAAGGUAGCAUAAUCAUUUGGCUUUUAAUUGGAGUCUGGAAUGAAAGGGGUUUAUGGGGGAAAGCUCUAUCAGGUUUAAUUUUUCGAAAUUACUUAAUAGGUGAAAAUGCCUAUAAUUGUAUAUAUAGGACGAGAAGACCCUAAGAGUUUUAACGAGAUAACAAGGUGACAAAAUACUAGAAACGUCUAAAAUGUUGUUUACCCUUGUGGUCUAAGUUUUUGCUGGGGCGGCAAAUCUUCAUUAAUUAAACAAGGUAUAUGGCAGGUUAUACACGACUAUUUCAGUAAUCAGUAAGGAUAAACUACCUUAGGGAUAACAGCAUAAUUCUUUUGAGAGAUUGUGACCUCGAUGUUGGACUAGGUACCCUGGUUACCAGAAGUAACAAGGUUAUGUUCUGUUCGAACACCCGAUACCUACAUGAUCUGAGUUCAGACCGGCGUGAGCCAGGUCAGAUUCUAUCCAUCAUUGCAAGUUAUACAGUACGAAAGGAAAACCAUGACUAUUUUCUUAAACUGAAAACUAAGUUAACGAUUUCAGCUAGCUUGGCAGAA